rnacentral:misc_RNA from 1 species
ACAUUGGGUUUGUUGGAGUAGCAUGUGUGAAAGUAAACAAAUGGGAGGGUUGGUGUUUAGAGAUUUGGGGUCUUUAAAUCUAGCUCUCCUGGCUAAACAAGGGUGGAGAAUGCUUACUAAUCCCACUUUUCUUCUUGCUCAGGUGUUGAAAGGGAAAUAUUUCCCACAUUCUUCCUUUCUUCAAGCUUCGGCUAAAGGGAAUUCAUAGUGGGGUUGGAAAAGCCUGCUUUGGGGGAGAGAACUUUUAUCAGGUGGUUUGAGAUGGCAAGUUAAUAAUGGAAAUUCAAUUCUGUAUAAAGAAGAGAUUUGGAUACAAACUCUUUCCCUCAUCGUCCAAGAGUUCGUCCCAAUGCUAGUCCAGAAAUCAAUUGGGUAUCACAGUUAGUGGAUUGGGACCGGGGUGCCUGGAAUGUUGAGUUACUAAGAACGGUGUUCUUUGAGGAAGAGAUUCCUAAUAUUCUUGCUAUUCCCAUCAAUUGGGUUUCUUUGGAGGAUAAAAUUGUUUGGCAUCAUACUAGGGAUGGAUCAUACUCCGUGAAAUCAGGUUACCAAUUGGCUCGGCAUUUGAGAAUGACAAGAAACUCUUCUGCCAUUGCGGUUCCUGGUCCGACAUCCUUAGCUAAUAAUCAUGCCAUUUGGAGGAACAUUUGGAAAAUUUCUUUACCUUCAAAACUAACUAUCUUUCUAUGGAGAUUGUUAAAAGAAAAGCUCCCUCGUAAUAAACUGCUCCAGUCUCGAUUUCCAGAAAUGUCCGACAACUGUUUGGCUUGUGGGAAGAAGGAAAUUCUGAGGCACUUAUUCUUCUUUUGCCCUAAAGCAGUGGAAGUGUGGGUUCAUUCUCAAUUCAGACUUAGAUCUUCACUGCUUGGAGGUUCUUCAAUGUUGGAUUGUUGGAGCGAGCUCCUAACAAUGCUUUCCAACAAUGCUCAUCAGCAAGAGUUCGUUUCCCAGUUGGUGUUUAUUCUUUGGCAUUUAUGGAAGAAUAGGAACUAGAGAAUUUUCCAAAAUAGCUCGACAUUUUCAGCAAGUUGUUGACAAUGCCCUUGCCCAGCCCUGGGAACCACCACCUUAUCAUUGGAUCAAAAUUAACUUUGAUGCAGCAUCCUCAUCUCAUAGGAAUCUUGGAGCAGUUGCAGCUAUUGCCAGAAAUUCCCUUAGUCAGCCUAUUGGUUGGAGCUGUCAAAGAAUUCACAAACCCUCUUAUUCUAGAGGGACUUGCGUGUAGAGAAGCAAUCAGAGUUGCUAAAAGUAAGGGGGUUCAGCGUAUUAUGUUUGAAGGGGAGUCACAAGUCUUGAUCAAUGCUUUGAAUGCAGGUGCUAUUCUGCAGGAAACUCAAGGACUUCUCUAUGAUAUUCGAUUCCUUGCUAGUGAUUUUAUUAGUUAUAAAUUCACUUUUGUUAAACGAGCAACUAAUACAGUAGCUCAUGAUUAGCAUGUAAAGUCAUUCGGGAUGAUGAUUUCCUGUUUAAUCCCAUAGCUCAAGUUUUGUUUGUAUCUAAUUUGCCUUUUCAAGGCCUUCAAUGAAUUUCCCUUUUUCGGAA